rnacentral:lncRNA from 1 species
AGAUGCAAAGGCUGAGUUGGCCAAGCAACUUGCCCCCACAGAUAGAGCACUUUAUAUUCACUGCAGAGAGGAAGAACGUUAUCCUUAUCAUUCCGCUAUCUGAAGUCACUGUCUCCCUCCAUCCUCUCAGGGAAAGGGGGCUGAUCUGUCAAUCCUUCGCUUCCUUCCUCAUGCCCUGAGCAGGCAAGUUUCCAAAGGCUGCAAACCAUUGUCACAAUUCCUGGAGGAUGAGCCAACAUCAGCACCGAAGCCCCCCUGAGAGCCCCUGUGCCAGCCGGGCCCCAGCCUCCCAUCCCCGCACCCAGGCUCCUUGAACUGUCGCCUCCCACUUACCAAGAUUGCUCCCAACGAAGAAUCUUACAGUCUCUGCCACUGGAAGGCAUGAAUGCUUACCAAGCCUGGACAUGUUCCUUCUCCAAGAGCAGCUGCUGAGUUCACAGGCAAACUCUAGUCAUAGGAAUCAAUACCCGCUGGUAAAAGGUCAACAUCCGUAAGAGGGCUGGGGGCUGGCCAAGCAGACAGCCUGGAGCUUCCAUCUUGGAACCCCACAAACCUCCAAUGCUGGGUCUACUGUUUAAAAGUAUUAAUUAAAGUAAAUUAAAAAUAUUAAUUUGUGUUUUCUGAUUAUAAAAAUGGUUUAUGCUUAUAGAAAUUUCUUUUGACAUUUUACGCUGGUCAGUUUUUUUUUUUUUUUUUGGAAGAUUGGCCCUGAGCUAACAUCUGUUGCCAAUCUUCCUUUUUUUUCUUCUUCUCCCCAAAGCCCCCCAUUACAUAAGUUGUAUAUCCUAGCUGUAGGUCCUUCUAGUUGUGCUAUGUGGGACGCCACCUCAGUGUGGCCUGAUGAGCUGAGCAGUGCCAGGUCUGCGCCCAGGAUCCGAACCAGCGAAACCCGGGCCACCAAAGCAGAGCAUGUGAAUUUAACCACUUGGCCACGGAGCCAGUCCCUAGAAAAUUUUAAAUUAUAAAAUCGUGUUUAAAAAAACAAAACAUUUAAAGCCUCUGCCAGCUCACCAUUCAUAGAUAACUCUAUACACAUCUUGGAAAUUUUCUUUCUCUCCUCUUAAUCCAAUCAUUACCAUUUUUCUCAUUUUUUCCUUUAGGAAAAACAAAAUUGUUUUUUC